UACGUAGGGGGCGAGCGUUGUCCGGAAUCAUUGGGCGUAAAGCGCGUGUAGGCGGCUCGGUAAGUCCGCUGUGAAAGUCCAGGGCUCAACCCUGGGAUGCCGGUGGAUACUGUCGGGCUCGAGUCCGGAAGAGGCGAGUGGAAUUCCUGGUGUAGCGGUGAAAUGCGCAGAUAUCAGGAGGAACACCAAUGGCGAAGGCAGCUCGCUGGGACGUGACUGACGCUGAGACGCGAAAGCGUGGGGAGCAAACAGG
rnacentral:rRNA from 1 species